CCUACGGGUGGCAGCAGUGGGGAAUAUUGGGCAAUGGGCGCAAGCCUGACCCAGCAACGCCGCGUGAAGGAAGAAGGCUUUCGGGUUGUAAACUUCUUUUCUCAGGGACGAAGAAAGUGACGGUACCUCAGGACUAAGCCACGGCUAAAUACGUGCCAGCAGCCGCGGUAAUACGGAGGUGGCAAGCGUUAUCAGGAUUUACUGGGUGUAAAGGGCGUGUGGGCGGGACUGCAAGUCAGAUGGGAAAACCACGGGCUCAACCUGUGGCCUGCAUUUGAAACUGGAGUUCUUGAGUACUGGAGAGGCAGGCGGAAUUCCUAGUGUAGCGGUGAAAUGCGUAGAUAUUAGGAGGAACACCAGUGGCGAAGGCGGUCUGCUGGACAGCAACUGACGCUGAGGCGCGAAAGCGUGGGGAGCAAACAGGAUUAGAUACCCUAGUAGUC
rnacentral:rRNA from 1 species